UCAGUCCGCUGAGACUCAUCUGGACGUAUCACUAAAGUCUUAACUAGGAAGAAACAACCAGAACUAAGCGUUGAGCAACACGCUGAACCUGUGGAGGUGUAUAGCCUGUAAAGGUGAGGAAACACUUCAUCAACACCUACAGGAGCAGCAGGGCCAUCGUUGGUUAAGAUGAGUCAUGUGAAGCGGUUUCAAAACAUUCCCAUGUCAAAGUCGAUGCGGGGGUUGUGUAAAGAAGAAGACUAUGCCUUUCUGGGAACGUCGAGGAGCACGACCCAAGACGCCACCGAAGGCCUGGUUGCUUCAGAGGACAAUCCAAAAGACGAAAAGGAGGAGAGAGUGCGUCGGCAACUGGAAUGGGAGAAGCAGGAAAAGGACAGGAUCAGAGCAAUAGAGGAGAGCAAGAAGGUGAGUAAACAC